rnacentral:rRNA from 1 species
GAUUAUGGCUCAGGAUGAACGCUAGCUACAGGCUUAACACAUGCAAGCGAGGGGUAGCAGGGUAGCAAUACCGCUGACGACCGGCGCACGGGUGAGUAACACGUAUCCAACCUUCCCAUAACUCAGGGAUAGCCUUUCGAAAGAAAGAUUAAUACCUGAUAGUACUUUUUCAAGGCAUCUUGAGAAAGUUAAAGAUUUAUUGGUUAUGGAUGGGGAUGCGUUCCAUUAGAUAGUUGGUGAGGUAACGGCUCACCAAGUCUUCGAUGGAUAGGGGUUCUGAGAGGAAGGUCCCCCACAUUGGUACUGAGACACGGACCAAACUCCUACGGGAGGCAGCAGUGAGGAAUAUUGGUCAAUGGGCGAGAGCCUGAACCAGCCAAGUAGCGUGAAGGAAUGAAGGUCCUAUGGAUUGUAAACUUCUUUUAUAGUAGAAUAAAGUGAUCCACGUGUGGAUUUUUGUAUGUAUACUAUGAAUAAGGAUCGGCUAACUCCGUGCCAGCCGCCGC